GAUGAACGCUGGCGGCGUGCCUAAUACAUGCAAGUCGAACGCACAGCGAAAGGUGCUUGCACCUUUCAAGUGAGUGGCGAACGGGUGAGUAACACGUGGACAACCUGCCUCAAGGCUGGGGAUAACAUUUGGAAACAGAUGCUAAUACCGAAUAAAACUUAGUGUCGCAUGACACAAAGUUAAAAGGCGCUUCGGCGUCACCUAGAGAUGGAUCCGCGGUGCAUUAGUUAGUUGGUGGGGUAAAGGCCUACCAAGACAAUGAUGCAUAGCCGAGUUGAGAGACUGAUCGGCCACAUUGGGACUGAGACACGGCCCAAACUCCUACGGGAGGCUGCAGUAGGGAAUCUUCCACAAUGGGCGAAAGCCUGAUGGAGCAACGCCGCGUGUGUGAUGAAGGCCUUCGGGUCGUAAAGCACUGUUGUAUGGGAAGAACAGCUAGAAUAGGAAAUGAUUUUAGUUUGACGGUACCAUACCAGAAAGGGACGGCUAAAUACGUG
rnacentral:rRNA from 1 species